GAUUUAGAUAAAUAGAGAAAACAGAUAUAAUUUGCUUAUUAUCUGAUUACCAGCUCUGCACAGCGGACUUGUAACACUAGCAGCAGUGGAGAUGGAGCAUCAGAACCUGGAGGCUUCUACUCUCCUGAAGAAGAAGAAUACAGCAACAAGGAUCCAUUUGAAGAUAGAUUUCACAGCUGUCUGGGCCUAGCAGCAAGAACCUCCAUCUGUCCCUGCCCCCAGGUCAAGAUCUACCGUGGCUCAAGGGCCUUCACCGCCAAGGACCAGAGGACCAUCAUCACUACAGUGGCCUCCAUCUCCAUCUGCCACAAGAUUAAGAUACACCUCGGGACAAAGGCCUCCACCACAGCCAUCACGAUCAACCCAGCCAGCAAAGAAGUCUCGCCUAGCAGACGUACCUCCCACACGGCCACCAGCAUCAACCUGGGACAAUCACACCUACCUCCCUCCGACACAGCCACCAGAAGCCCAUGCACCAUCACCUACACAGCAGCCAGACCCCUUGUCCUGGAAGACAGACAAAGACCAUGACACUGCUCCAAAAAAUAGAUGAGAUGAGUAAAUGUGUUUUCACAAGAGUUUUGAGGUUUUCCAAAAAUCGGAUUUCUCAUUUGCAGCUAAGUAUCUCAUAAGACAGUGCUCUAAGGUGAGUGACUUGCAUCUCUAGCAAGACCAGAGUGUCCUGAAUAUUUUCAUAAGUAACAUAUGGGGUGCUAUGUUAUACACUCUUAAAACUACUGGGUUAAAAAAUAACCCAAUCAUAACCCAGCUGCUGAGUCACUAUAGGACAGAACACGCGCUGGGUUGUCUUAACCCAUAUGCUGGGCUGGAUCAUUUUAACCCAUACAUUGGGUUGUUUAUUUGACCCAAGCUAGUGAUUGAAAUUAACUACAUCACUGGGUUAAAUUAAUAUAAACCAUAUAUUGGGUUGUUUAUUUGACCCAAGCUAGUGAUUGAAAUUAACUAUAUUGUUGGGCUAAAUAUAAUAUAAUAAUAAUGUAUAAUAGUGUAAUGAAUAAUCUC